rnacentral:tRNA from 1 species
CUGACCUUAGCUCAGUUGGUAGAGUGUGGUGGACUGUAGUUGGACUAAUCUAAAUUGGAAAUCCUUAGGUCGCUGGUUUGAUUCCGGCAGGUUGGA